GACGAACGCUGGCGGCGUGCCUAAUACAUGCAAGUCGAACGCAUUUUCUUUCACCGUAGCUUGCUACACCGAAAGAAAAUGAGUGGCGAACGGGUGAGUAACACGUGGGUAACCUGCCCAUCAGCGGGGGAUAACACUUGGAAACAGGUGCUAACACCGCAUAAUUCCAUUUACCGCAUGGUAGAUGGGUGAAAGGCGCUUUUGCGUCACUGAUGGAUGGACCCGCGGUGCAUUAGCUAGUUGGUGGGGUAACGGCCUACCAAGGCUGCGAUGCAUAGCCGACCGGGAGGGGGAAAGGGCAAAACGGGAACUGGAAAACGGCCAGACUCCUACGGGAGGCAGCAGUAGGGAAUCUUCGGCAAUGGACGCAAGUCUGACCGAGCAACGCCGCGUGAGUGAAGAAGGUUUUCGGAUCGUAAAACUCUGUUGUUAGAGAAGAACAAGGAUGAGAGUGGAAAGUUCAUCCCUUGACGGUAUCUAACCAGAAAGCCACGGCUAACUACGUG
rnacentral:rRNA from 1 species